rnacentral:rRNA from 14 species
GAAGCGCAUACGGUGGAUGCCUUGGCAGUCAGAGGCGAUGAAAGACGUGGUAGCCUGCGAAAAGCUUCGGGGAGUCGGCAAACAGACUGUGAUCCGGAGAUGUCUGAAUGGGGGAACCCAGCUGUCAUAAGACAGUUACCUUACACUGAAUACAUAGGUGUAUGGAGCGAACCAGGGGAACUGAAACAUCUAAGUACCCUGAGGAAAAGAAAUCAACCGAGAUUCCCUUAGUAGUGGCGAGCGAACGGGGACCAGCCCUUAAGUUGAUUUGAGAUUAGCGGAACGCUCUGGAAAGUGCGGCCAUAGUGGGUGAUAGCCCUGUACGCGAAAAUCUCUUGUCAAUGAAAUCGAGUAGGACGGGGCACGAGAAACCUUGUCUGAACAUGGGGGGACCAUCCUCCAAGGCUAAAUACUACUGACUGACCGAUAGUGAACCAGUACCGUGAGGGAAAGGCGAAAAGAACCCCGGUGAGGGGAGUGAAAUAGAACCUGAAACCGUAUACGUACAAGCAGUAGGAGCAGACUUGUUCUGUGACUGCGUACCUUUUGUAUAAUGGGUCAGCGACUUAUAUUCUGUAGCAAGGUUAACCGAAUAGGGGAGCCGUAGGGAAACCGAGUCUUAAUAGGGCGUCUAGUUGCAGGGUAUAGACCCGAAACCGAGUGAUCUAUCCAUGAGCAGGUUGAAAGUGACGUAACAGUUACCGGAGGACCGAACCCACUG